rnacentral:snRNA from 20 species
AUCUUUAUGCAGGGGCAUUACGUGUAUCAGUGAGGAUUCGUCCGAGAUCAUGUUUUUGCUGGUUGAAAACUAUAACCUGACAGCUUCUUAGUGAUCUAGCCUUGUGCUAUGAAUGCUAAGGGAAUUUUUGGAGAACUAUCAUUUGA